CAAUAGCGUAUAUUAAAGUUGUUGCGGUUAAAAAGCUCGUAGUUGGAUUUCUGCCGAGGACGACCGGUCCGCCCCCUGGGUGAGUAUCUGGUUCGGCCUGGGCAUCUUCUUGGAGAACGUAUCUGCACUUGACUGUGUGGUGCGGUAUCCAGGACUUUUACUUUGAGGAAAUUAGAGUGUUUCAAGCAGGCACACGCCUUGAAUACAUUAGCAUGGAAUAAUAAGAUAGGACCUUGGUUCUAUUUUGUUGGUUUCUAGAGCUAAGAUAAUGGUUAAUAGGAACAAUUGGGGGCAUUUGUAUUAACAUGUCAGAGGUGGAAUUCUUGGAUUAUGUUACGACAAACUACUGCGAAAGCAUUUGCCAAGGAUGUUUUCAUUGAUCAAGAACGAAAGUAAGGGGAUCGAAGACGAUUAGAUACCGU
rnacentral:rRNA from 1 species